AUUGAACGCUGGCGGCAGGCCUAACACAUGCAAGUCGAGCGAGGGGCGGACGGGUGAGUAAUGGAUGGGGGUCUGCCCGAGAGAGGGGGAGAACGAAUGGAAACGGUAGCUAAUACUGCAUACUAACGACUGAACCAAUAUGGGAUCAGCUAGUUGGUGAGGUAAUGGCUCACCUAGGCGACGAUCCCUAGCUGGUCUGAGAGGAUGAUCAGCCACACUGGAACUGAGACACGGCCCAGACUCCUACGGGAGGCAGCAGUGGGGAAUAUUGCACAAUGGGCGCAAGCCUGAUGCAGCCAUGCCGCGUGUGUGAAGAAGGCCCUAGGGUUGUAAAGUACUUUCAGUCGGGAGGCGUUACCGACAGAAGAAGCACCGACUAACUCCGUGCCAGCAGCCGCGGUAAUAC
rnacentral:rRNA from 1 species